UUUUCUCCGAUGGCAAGACGUUACCUU
rnacentral:piRNA from 1 species